rnacentral:rRNA from 1 species
AUUGAACGCUGGCGGCAUGCUUUACACAUGCAAGUCGAACGGCAGCGCGGGCUUCGGCCUGGCGGCGAGUGGCGAACGGGUGAGUAAUACAUCGGAACGUGCCCAGUAGUGGGGGAUAGCUCGGCGAAAGCCGGAUUAAUACCGCAUACGACCUGAGGGUGAAAGCGGGGGAUCUUCGGACCUCGUGCUAUUGGAGCGGCCGAUGGCAGAUUAGCUAGUUGGUGGGGUAAAGGCCUACCAAGGCGACGACCUGUAGCUGGUCUGAGAGGACGACCAGCCACACUGGGACUGAGACACGGCCCAGACUCCUACGGGAGGCAGCAGUGGGGAAUUUUGGACAAUGGGCGAAAGCCUGAUCCAGCAAUGCCGCGUGUGUGAUGAAGGCCUUCGGGUUGUAAAGCACUUUUGGCGGGAACGAAAAGGACUGUGCCAAUACCACGGUUCGAUGACGGUACCCGCAGAAUAAGCACCGGCUAACUACGU